rnacentral:rRNA from 1 species
UACGGAGGGUGCUAGCGUUAUUCGGAAUCACUGGGUUUAAAGGGUGCGUAGGCUGCUGCAUAAGUCAGGGGUGAAAGUUUGUCGCUUAACGAUAGAAUUGCCUUUGAUACUGUGCGGCUUGAAAUUAGGUGAGGUGGGCGGAAUGUGACAUGUAGCGGUGAAAUGCGUAGAUAUGUCAUAGAACACCGGUUGCGAAGGCAGCUGGCUGACCUAAAUUUGACGCUGAGGUACGAAAGCGUGGGGAGCAAACAGG